rnacentral:rRNA from 1 species
GAGUUUGAUCAUGGCUCAGGAUGAACGCUAGCGGCAGGCUUAACACAUGCAAGUCGAGGGGUAUAGUUCUUCGGAAUUAGAGACCGGCGCACGGGUGCGUAACGCGUAUGCAAUCUACCUUUCACAGAGGGAUAGCCCAGAGAAAUUUGGAUUAAUACCUCAUAGUAUAACGACUCCGCAUGGAGAUGUUAUUAAAGUCACAACGGUGAAAGAUGAGCAUGCGUCCCAUUAGCUAGUUGGUAAGGUAACGGCUUACCAAGGCUACGAUGGGUAGGGGUCCUGAGAGGGAGAUCCCCCACACUGGUACUGAGACACGGACCAGACUCCUACGGGAGGCAGCAGUGAGGAAUAUUGGACAAUGGGCGCAAGCCUGAUCCAGCCAUGCCGCGUGCAGGAUGACGGUCCUAUGGAUUGUAAACUGCUUUUGCACAGGAAGAAACAACGCUACGUGUAGCGUCUUGACGGUACUGUGAGAAUAAGGAUCGGCUAACUCCGUGCCAGCAGCCGCGGUAAUACGGAGGAUCCAAGCGUUAUCCGGAAUCAUUGGGUUUAAAGGGUCCGUAGGCGGUUUAGUAAGUCAGUGGUGAAAGCCCAUCGCUCAACGGUGGAACGGCCAUUGAUACUGCUAGACUUGAAUUAUUAGGAAGUACUAGAAUAU